rnacentral:rRNA from 2 species
AGCCUGAGACCUGAUGCCGAGCCGAUUGUGGUGAAGUGGAUGAUCCUAUGCUGUCGAGAAAAGCCUCUAGCGAGUUUCAUGGCGGCCCGUACCCUAAACCGACUCAGGUGGUCAGGUAGAGAAUACCGAGGCGUUCGGGUGAACUAUGGUUAAGGAACUCGGCAAAAUGCCCCCGUAACUUCGGGAGAAGGGGGGCCACGUCUGGUGAUGAGUCUUGCACUCUGAGCUGGGGGUGGCCGCAGAGACCAGCGAGAAGCGACUGUUUACUAAAAACACAGGUCCGUGCGAAGCCGUAAGGCGAUGUAUACGGACUGACGCCUGCCCGGUGCUGGAACGUUAAGGGGACCGGUUAGUGACCUUUCGGGGUUGCGAAGCUGAGAACUUAAGCGCCAGUAAACGGCGGUGGUAACUAUAACCAUCCUAAGGUAGCGAAAUUCCUUGUCGGGUAAGUUCCGACCUGCACGAAUGGCGUAACGACUUCUCGACUGUCUCAACCAUAGGCCCGGUGAAAUUGCACUACGAGUAAAGAUGCUCGUUUCGCGCAGAAGGACGGAAAGACCCCGGGACCUUUACUACAGUUUGAUAUUGGUGUUCGGUUCGGCUUGUGUAGGAUAGGUGGGAGACUGUGAAGCGGCCACGCCAGUGGUUGUGGAGUCGUCGUUGAAAUACCACUCUGGUCGUGCUGGAUGUCUAACCUGGGUCCGUGAUCCGGAUCAGGGACAGUGUCUGAUGGGUAGUUUAACUGGGGCGGUUGCCUCCCAAAGGGUAACGGAGGCGCCCAAAGGUUCCCUCAGCCUGGUUGGCAAUCAGGUGUUGAGUGUAAGUGCACAAGGGAGCUUGACUGUGAGACCGACGGGUCGAGCAGGGACGAAAGUCGGGACUAGUGAUCCGGCGGUGGCUUGUGGAAGCGCCGUCGCUCAACGGAUAAAAGGUACCCCGGGGAUAACAGGCUGAUCUUCCCCAAGAGUCCAUAUCGACGGGAUGGUUUGGCACCUCGAUGUCGGCUCGUCGCAUCCUGGGGCUGGAGUCGGUCCCAAGGGUUGGGCUGUUCGCCCAUUAAAGCGGUACGCGAGCUGGGUUUAGAACGUCGUGAGACAGUUCGGUCCCUAUCCUCUGUGCGCGUAGGAAUAUUGAGAAGGGCUGUCCCUAGUACGAGAGGACCGGGACGGACGAACCUCUGGUGUGCCAGUUGUCCUGCCAAGGGCAUGGCUGGUUGGCUACGUUCGGGAGGGAUAACCGCUGAAAGCAUCUAAGCGGGAAGCCUGCUUCGAGAUGAGUAUUCCCACCUCCUUGAGAGGGUAAGGCUCCCAGUAGACGACUGGGUUGAUAGGCCGGAUGUGGAAGCCCAGUAAUGGGUGGAGCUGACCGGUACUAAUAGGCCGAGGGCUUGUCCUCAGUUG